rnacentral:rRNA from 1 species
AUUGAACGCUGGCGGCAUGCCUUACACAUGCAAGUCGAACGGUAACAGGUCUUCGGAUGCUGACGAGUGGCGAACGGGUGAGUAAUACAUCGGAACGUGCCUAGUAGUGGGGGAUAACUACUCGAAAGAGUGGCUAAUACCGCAUGAGAUCUACGGAUGAAAGCAGGGGAUCGCAAGACCUUGUGCUACUAGAGCGGCCGAUGGCAGAUUAGGUAGUUGGUGGGAUAAAAGCUUACCAAGCCGACGAUCUGUAGCUGGUCUGAGAGGACGAUCAGCCACACUGGGACUGAGACACGGCCCAGACUCCUACGGGAGGCAGCAGUGGGGAAUUUUGGACAAUGGGGGCAACCCUGAUCCAGCAAUGCCGCGUGCAGGAAGAAGGCCUUCGGGUUGUAAACUGCUUUUGUACGGAACGAAAAGGCUCUGGUUAAUACCUGGGGCACAUGACGGUACCGUAAGAAUAAGCACCGGCUAACUACGUGCCAGCCGCCGCGGUAACAC